rnacentral:rRNA from 1 species
CCGCUGGAAUUUAAGCAUAUAACUAAGCGGAGGAAAAGAAACUAACCAGGAUUCCCUCAGUAAGGGCGACUGAAGCGGGAAGUGCUCAGGAUGUGAAUCUGCGCUUUAAGUAGCGUCGAAUUGUGGUCUGUCGACUGUAUCGUAACUGGCCGGGCCAAGUCCCUUGGAACAGGGCAGCUGAGAGGGUGAGACUCCCGUAGGCCUGGGUAGGUGAGGUACAAGUCAAUGAGUCGAGUUGUUUGGGAUUGCAGCUCAAAGCGGGUGGUAAAUUCCAUCUAAAGCUAAAUAUUGGUGGGAGACCGAUAGCGUACAAGUACCGUGAGGGAAAGAUGCAAAGAACUUUGAAAAGAGAGUUAAAGAGUACCUGAAAUUGCUGAAAGGGAAGCGAAGGAAAUCAGUGUCGGCGUGGUCAUAUUUCCCAUUCCUGUAUGGGAUUGGGCGCUGUGUCCUGCUUUAGUAAUCUUUGGUUGGUUUCGGUGGAAGAGCGCGUACAGAGUUGAUGUAGGUUGCUAGCACCGUGGUUGACUGAGGAGUACGAAAUGGUUUUCUUUACCCCGUCUAGAAACACGGACCAAGGAGUCUAACAUAUGUGCGAGUACAGAGGUGUCAAACCUCGGUGCGUAAUGAAAGUGACAGUGGUUGGACAAUUUGGCACAAUCCGCCGGCCUCAAUCCCUCGGGAGAACGGUCUGAGUGUGAGCAUACAUGUUGGGACCCGAAAGAUGGUGAACUAUGCCUGAAUAGGGUGAAGCCAGGGGAAACUCUGGUGGAGGCUCGUAGCGAUUCUGACGUGCAAAUCGAUCGUCAAAUUUGGGUA